UGCCUCUCUCUCUGCCCCUUCCCUACUUGUAUUCUUUCUCUCUCCCUCUCUCUCAAAAAAAAUGAAGCUAAAAGCAUUUUAAAGCACCUCCAUAGGUCUUCUUGUCUCUUAUCCUAUUCCUGCCUCUUCAUGGGAAGGUCCAUUUAACCAACUGGAAGAGACCGUAAAACCCUCGUGUGGCCGUUCAUAUGAGUCACUAUUUAGGAAAUAAGUGAUUAUGUUACCUUUGCACGAUCAGGAUACCACGGCAGUUUCGCAAAUGUCCCUGGGCAGGCAGGGCCUCUGAUACUAGAAAUACUAGAGGCGAUUUUAUUGGUAAACAGGUGGGGUUUGUGUUCACUGAGUUCCUUUUACUUCUUUUCAUCUUUCCUUGAUUGCCUAUCCGUGUUGGGUCAACAAUUGGUUUGAUAGUGACUUUACAGUUAGGUUGUUUUUAUCUUAUUGUUAACUAUCCAUAGUCAUCUGCUCUGAUAGAAGUUUAUGCAAGGACAAAUAUUUCUUGUUGCACAUACUAACAUUAUUGCUUCUAUUGUGAAAUUCACCUGGUCAUAACUAAGGAGUUGGUUGUCUAUUUCUGGUAUUCAGAUCUUAAGGUCAUAUACCAAUGCCUGAGCCCUACUAUGAAUGUUCAUCACCGCAUUCCCUAACAGCCGCCUACAGUACACGAGUCAUAUUUUUCACCCUUCUAGGACAGCCUCGAGACACCUACAUUGGCGAUGCAGGGGUGUCACACUUGCACCCCCCAUCGGUGUUGGAGGGGUGUCAUGCUUGCACCCCUUCUGUGCCCCUUCAUUGGCCAUUUAGAUAUGUCACACCUGUGCCCCUUCUUCAGCCAUGUAGGGGCAUCACGCCUGUGCCCCUUCAUGGGCCAUAUAGGGGCGAGCCGCCUGCUCCCCUUCAUGGACUAUGUAGGGGUGUGCCGCCAGCACCCAUUCUUGGUCCAUGCAGGGGUGAGCUGUCUGCGCCUCUUCAUGAGCCAUGUAGGGGUGUGCCGCCAGCACCCCUUUAUGGGCCAAGUAGGUGUGAACCACCUGCACCCCCACAUCGGUGUCCUGCACCCUUGCAUUGGCGUUGUGGGGUAUGCUGCCUGCAAACACGCAUGGGCGUCUUGCAACCCUUCAUUGGACAUUUGCGGGUGUGCCGCUUGCCCCCCUUCAUCAGCAACUUGCACCCCUUCAUGGGUCCUGUAGGGUUGUUCUGCCAGCACCCCUUCACGGCCACUAUAGUAUUUGUACUUACUGUCUGUGGUUUCAGGGAUCCACCUGGGGUCUCCAGACAUAUCCCCAUGGAUAAUGGGGGGUUCUGUAGUCGUGUUCCUCUGUAUCACAUCUCCCCACACGACCCUCGUCUCUAGAUAAAUCUUAUGGGAUCAGGAACCACUUUUCUUUUCUUCUUCUUAGUGGAAACAUCUUGCCUUUGCUUAGCAUGGCCGCUUUGCUCUCUCCGCCGUCUCCUGGAGGCUCCCUUACCCUUGCAGCGCUCUUCACUCACUGCUUUGGGUGUGCGGUCUGUCUCCUGUCGCAGUGGUGCACAAAUGGUAAUUUGUACCUGGAGUGGCCUCAGGAAGCUGCCUCAAGAUGGGACUCUGGGACUGGACUGCUCUUCUCUCUGGUGGACAUACAGAUAACUUCCUUGUGGGCAGAAGUGGAUACUGGUCGUUGGAAGCAAGAGGUGAUUUCACACUUGCUCAUGUUACCCCAGUGCUGGUACAGAGUGAUGGAGGACAGCAUGCUGGAGGAUUGCGGGUGGAGUCGUCACUGUGGCCAUGGGGGGGGCGGCAGUUACAGAGAUUGUUUGGGGUCAGUUUGGGGUAUGUGAGGUAUACACAGGAAAUAGGAGAGAUUGAAAGGAAGGGCCAAACAUCAGAAAGUCUAUCGCCUCAUAAGGGGAGUAUGAGGGGGCCUCAUAAGGGGAGUAUUGUGUUUUGUUGCCAAGAGAAGCAGCUCCCCCGGACCCCCGUUGGAGGGAAACAGUCUUACCCCACCCCCAGAACCCCUCGAGAAAAGGUUUCAAUGGCUUCACCUAAGACAAUACCGUCGUGACAGAGAGCAGUGAUCUUCAGGCUCCAUGUCUACCAUCCGUGUUUACUUCCUGGAAGAUAACGGGAUGCCAGCGAACUCCAAAUGGGGGUACGGGAUCAGGUCCACACAGGAUCAGGUGCUCAUGCAGGGAGUGGCAGGGCAUUACCACUUCGCACUGGUAGGAGACUGGGGAUGGGAGUGGAUUCAAAGAGUAUUAAACCAAGGAGGGUGACAUAGGAUAGGCCAGACAUGGUACAGGGUUCCUCCUGCAGGAAAUGUGAUUUAAUGUGUUGCCUUGACAACUGGGAACGGUCGUAAUAAUGACUCAAUGGCUGCCUUCAGUCAACUAGGUUGAAAUGCCAGAGCUUCCCUGACUUUCUCAGGGAAGGAAGACUCCAAGGUCCGAGGGAGAUGGGAAUGGGGACUUGUUGUGUGCACACCUGCUCUUUUACCACAAACUUGGUGGCUUAUGAGAACAAAAUCGUGUUCUCUCACGGUUCUGGAGGCCAGGAACCCAAAAUUCACUUAACUGGGCUGAGACUAAGGUGUCAGCAGGGCUGUACUCCCUCUGGAGACCCCAGGGCUCCAGGGGACAGUGUAUCCCUUCCCUCUGGUAGCUCCCGGUGGCCACCAACCUCCCUUGGCUUGUGUCCACAUCUACCCCAGUCUGUCUCCAUGGACACAGUGCCUCCCCUUUUGUCAAAUCUCCCUUUGCUUCUCUAAGGGUGCUCGUGAUUCCAUGUAGGGCUCACUCGGAAAACCCAGGACUCAAGAUCCUUAACUAGAUCCCAUUGAUGGGAGUUAGAUCCCAGGUAUCAGGACUUGAUUUCUUUGAGGGCCAUUGUCCAGCCUAGUACAACGUGUCCUUCCAUAGGGAGACAGCCAAAUCAUGCUAGCCCCGUGCGGUGGGGUGCUCACCGGUGAGCAGUGCCAGGGCGUGCACUGCUGAUAGACACUGCAGCAGGACUGAAUCUCCAGGGAAUUAUGCCCAGAGGGGAGAAAGCAAAUCCUGAAAGGGUCACACGCUUUUCGAUUCCACUUGUGUAAUACUCUUGAGGGGACAAAAUCACAGAAAUGGAGAGCAGAUGAGGGAUUGCCAGGCAUCACGAAGAUGACGGGGGCAAGAAGGAGGUGGGAAUGUCUGCUCUAAGAGGACAACACGGGGGUCCCUGUGGAGGGCCCGAUGCUCUGUUUCUCACAUGCAUCACUUUUGAAAUCCCGGCCGUGAGCCCGUCCUACGGGCAGAGAGAACGUAGGGCAUCUUCACGGUGUUUGCCAAUCACACACAGUCCCAGCGACCUCACAGCCGCCCACCUUGCUACAUCUGUCCCCACGGCCCUGGCUGGUGUCCCGUUGCCACAGUUGAGCCGUGUUCCUAAGGGAGGAAGCCAUCUCGCUCACGCGGCUCCUGCACGGUUUCACUCUCUCCUGCACACCUGGGGGUUUCCUCGGGACGGCCAUCCUGUGCACCUGCGGCUGUUUCUCCCGGCCCACGGGGGCAAUCACUUCCCAUCCACCACCACCUGUUUGUCUUCCUACGUCCUAUGUUGCACGUGCCAGCACCUGCAGAUCUUCCCUCUGUCAGCUGAGUCUGAGCCGGCUUCCUCUCCCACUCGGCUCUAGUUCUCAUCUCAUUAAGGAACCACACUCACCUCGCUGAAGCUCACGGUGAAGUCUCAACCCCCAGUUUGCGGACUACGUGGCACCAUUUUACAGACACAUGCUUGCAUCUUCCCUCUACCUCUAUACUCCAAGUUCCUGGCUGCCACUGGAAUUACAUGCUUAGGAUGCACAUCAUAACUUCCAGGUGAGGUUUUGAUAUCAAGAUCACACAGAUGACAUACAUUUUGCCUGAGUAUGAAGAAAACUCCAGAGUACCAAGAGAUGGGAAAGGAACAAGAACAAGAUCCCCUUCCUGAUUCUGGUUUGCUCCCUUUUGCUCUCUGCACCACUCUUUUGCAGAGAAGAUCCACUCAUCAAGGACUGAGGGCUGACUGAAUGGCUUCUGCACACCAAAAGGUCGGCCACAGAGAGAACGGCAAGAGAAACAGAGCAUGAACUAAAACAAGCAAUGAACUGCUCUAGGUGAAGAAGGAAUGGUUCUUGGCCAUUACUGUAUGCAACAAGAUGACUCACACACUAAGAGUCUAAAAAAGUGAAGAUUACCAUAUAGACCUUGUAGCUCUGAUUUUUAAAGUGUUAUUCCUUAUGUCUACAAAAUUGUGAAGUACUCUAAUUCCAACUCUUAUAUGUAUAAGACACUCAAUUUAUAUGACAUGAAAUGUCAAGUGAGUUAAGUAAUUACAGGUACAUAAUGUUGAUAGGAACACACUUUUUCAUAGUUAACAACUAGGAAAAAACAAUUAGGUGUUGAUCAAUAGAGGAGCAGAUGAAUAAGUAUUAAAAUAUAGUGUAGUCAUACAAUGGAAUGUUGCAACAGAUGAACUAGCGCUUAUGUUCCAUCAUGUAUCAAUCUUAGAUAUAUGACAUUUUUUACAUAAAAACCAAUGUUUGAGAAAUUUUCAUAUACUGUUAUCACUCAUGCAAAUAAAAAUACAUAAAAUUC